rnacentral:rRNA from 1 species
AGUGGCGGACGGGUGAGUAACGCGUGAGAAUCUGCCUUGGGGUCGGGGACAACCACUGGAAACGGUGGCUAAUACCGGAUAAGCCGAUUGGUGAAAGAUUUAUUGCCCGAAGAGGAGCUCGCGUCUGAUUAGCUAGUUGGUGAGGUAAGAGCUCACCAAGGCAGCGAUCAGUAGCUGGUCUGAGAGGACGAUCAGCCACACUGGGACUGAGACACGGCCCAGACUCCUACCGGAGGCAGCAGUGGGGAAUUUUCCGCAAUGGGCGAAAGCCUGACGGAGCAAGACCGCGUGAGGGAGGAAGGCUCUUGGGUUGUAAACCUCUUUUCUCAGGGAAGAAGCUCUGACGGUACCUGAGGAAUCAGCCUCGGCUAACUCCGUGCCAGCAGCCGCGGUAAUACGGAGGAGGCAAGCGUUAUCCGGAAUUAUUGGGCGUAAAGCGUCCGCAGGUGGCGAUUCAAGUCUGCUGUCAAAGCACGGGGCUUAACUCCGUAAAGGCAGUGGAAACUGAAUAGCUAGAGUGCCGUAGGGGUAGAGGGAAUUCCCGGUGUAGCGGUGAAAUGCGUAGAGAUCGGGAAGAACAUCGGUGGCGAAAGCGCUCUACUGGACGGCAACUGACACUCAGGGACGAAAGCUAGGGGAGGAAUGGGAUUAGAUACCCC